rnacentral:rRNA from 1 species
CCAGCGGACAAUGGGCGCGUUCUUCAGCUUCUUUUGGUUGAUGCGAUUAGGCUUUGAAGGCUCGGACGCUUUCUCCUUUGGCGUUGACGAGGAAUGG